rnacentral:rRNA from 1 species
AUUGAACGCUGGCGGCAGGCUUAACACAUGCAAGUCGAGCGAGCGGCGGACGGGUGAGUAAUGUCUGGGAAACUGCCUGAUGGAGGGGGAUAACUACUGGAAACGGUAGCUAAUACCGCAUACCAUCAGAUGUGCCCAGAUGGGAUUAGCUAGUAGGUGGGGUAAAGGCUCACCUAGGCGACGAUCUCUAGCUGGUCUGAGAGGAUGAUCAGGCAAACUGGGAAUGAGAAACGGCCCAGACGCCUACGGGAGGCAGCAGUGGGGAAUAUUGCAAAAGGGGCGAAAGCCUGAUGCAGCCAUGCCGCGUGUAUGAAGAAGGCCUUAGGGUUGUAAAGUAAUUUCAGCGGGGAGGCGUUACCCGCAGAAGAAGCACCGGCUAACUCCGGGCCAGCAGCCGCGGUAAUAC